CCUACGGGGGGCAGCAGUGAGGAAUAUUGGUCAAUGGGCGAGAGCCUGAACCAGCCAAGUCGCGUGAGGGAGUACUGCCCUAUGGGUUGUAAACCUCUUUUGUCGGGGAGCAAAAGCCGGACGUGUCCGGCUGUGAGAGUACCCGAAGAAAAAGCAUCGGCUAACUCCGUGCCAGCAGCCGCGGUAAUACGGAGGAUGAGAGCGUUAUCCGGAUUUAUUGGGUUUAAGGGGUGCGCAGGCGGAUUUUUAAGUCAGCGGUAAAAUCGUGGGGCUCAACCCCAUCCAGCCGUUGAAACUGGGGAUCUAGAGUGUGCGAGAGGUAUGCGGAAUGCGUGGUGUAGCGGUGAAAUGCAGAGAUAUCACGCAGAACCCCGAUUGCGAAGGCAGCAUACCGGUGCACAACUGACGCUCAGGCACGAAAGCGUGGGUAUCGAACAGGAUUAGAUACCCGAGUAGUC
rnacentral:rRNA from 1 species